AGUGAACGCUGGCGGCGUGCCUAAUACAUGCAAGUCGAACGGAGUGGCGCACGGGUGAGUAAUGUAUAGCUAAUCUGCCCUACACUAGAGGACUACGGUUGGAAACGACCGCUAAUACUCUAUAUUGAAGGAUGAGGCUAUAUUGUAUCAGCUAGUUGGCGAGGUAUUGGCUCACUAUGGCUAUGACGCAUAACUGGUCUGGGAGGAUGAUCAGUCAAACUGGAACUGAGACACGGUCCAGACGCCUACGGGAGGGAGCAGUAGGGUAUACUGCUAAAUGGGGGAAACCCUGAAGCAGAAACGCCGCGUGGAGGAUGACACUUUUAGGAGCGUAAACUCCUUUUGUUAGGGAAGCGGUACCUAACGAAUAAGCACCGGCUAACUCCGUGCCAGCAGCCGCGGUAAUUC
rnacentral:rRNA from 1 species